rnacentral:misc_RNA from 1 species
AGCCUCGGUUUCCUUUUUCCUUCCCAGAUUAGUCUGUGGAGUACAACCCAAAUCUUAUCCUCUGCUAUCACUUCUCCUCUGCCAUAUAAAGAGUACAACCCACAUCUCAUAGCACUCAAGUCAUAUAGCUAACCAUGAGUAUAACUCAAAAGCUUUCUCUCCUCGUUCAUUUUCUUUUUCUGCUGUCUUUGCUUCCAUUACAGAUUACCUCAUCACCAAGAACACAAGCAGAAGCUCUCAUCCAAUGGAGAAAUAGCUUAUCUUCCUUGCCUCCUUCUCUGAAUUCCUGGUCCUUCACCAACCUUAACAACCUUUGCAACUGGACUGCCAUUUCCUGCGACACCACUGGAACAGUCUCCAAAUUAAACCUCUCCAACCUUAACAUAAAUGGAACACUCACCCAAUUCAACUUCUCUUCAUUUGUAAACAUUUCCAGCGUUGACCUCCAGAAUAACAAUAUAGGGGGAACGAUACCAGCAGCUAUUGGUAGCCUCUCCAAGCUCACUUACUUGGACUUGAGUGUCAACUAUUUAGCUGGCAACAUUCCUGUUGAGAUGGGGCGAUUGACAGAGCUUCAAUAUCUUAGCCUUUAUGACAACAAUCUCAAUGGUACAAUUCCUUAUCAGCUCAGCAAUCUUCAAAAGGUAUGGUACUUGGAUCUUGGAGCAAAUUACUUGGAAGACCCUGACUGGUCAAAAUUUUCAACUAUGCCUUCUUUGAUGCAUCUUAGUUUUUUUCUCAAUGAACUUACUUUAGGCUUCCCUGAUUUCAUAUCCAAUUGCCAGAACUUGACCUUUCUAGAUUUGUCAUGGAAUCAGUUGACUGGCAUGAUACCAGAAUGGGCUUACACCAAUCUGGGAAAGAUUGAGUAUUUCAAUCUCACUGACAAUUUAUUCCAAGGACCAUUAUUAUCAAACAUUUCCAAGCUUUCCAAUCUCAAACAUCUUCGUCUACAAAAUAACAAGUUUAUUGGUCAGAUUCCUGAAAGUAUUGGUUUGUUGUCUGGUCUUGAAACUCUUGAGUUGUAUAACAAUUCGUUCCUGGGGAAUAUUCCAUCUUCUUUAGGCCAACUUAGGCAUUUGGAACUACUUGAUCUCCGAAUGAAUGCCUUGAAUUCAACAAUUCCGUCCGACCUUGGCCUUUGUACUAACCUCACUUACGUGGCCUUGGCCUUGAAUCAACUAAGUGGGAACUUGCCCUUGUCCUUGUCCAAUCUGAGCAAAAUGGUCCAUCUGGGUUUGUCUGAUAAUUUUUUAACAGGUGAGAUCUCACCUUAUCUUUUUGCCAAUUGGACUGAAUUGCACUCCUUGCAACUUCAAAAUAAUUUGUUAUCUGGACAUAUUCCCUCAGAAAUAGGACAACUGACAAAACUCAAUCUUCUUUUUCUGUACAAUAAUACAUUCUCUGGUUUGAUUCCUCCUGAAAUUGGAAACUUGAAAGAUUUGCAAAGUCUAGACCUUUCAGGAAACCAGCUUUCAGGACCCAUUCCUCCAAAAUUGUGGAAUCUCAAAAAUCUUCAAAUCAUGAAUCUUUUCUCCAACAACAUCAGUGGAAUAAUUCCGCCUGAAGUCGGAAAUAUGACUUCCCUAAUAAACCUAGAUCUCAGCAAUAACCAGCUGCAAGGAGAGCUGCCAGAGACCAUUUCACGCCUUAGUUCUCUGGAGUCCAUCAAUUUGUUCACCAAUAAUUUCUCGGGUAGCAUCCCAAGUGAUCUAGGCAAGUAUUGUACUUUAAAAUAUGCUAGCUUUUCGAACAACAGCUUCUCUGGAGAAUUGCCACCUGAACUCUGUAGUGGUUUGGCUCUUGAACAACUUACGGUUAAUGGCAACAAUUUUUCCGGGUCAUUGCCCACCUGCCUGAGGAAUUGCUCAGGAUUAACUAGAGUCCGGCUUGAUGGGAACCAAUUCAAUGGAUCCAUCACCAAUGCAUUUGGAGUUCAUCCAGAACUUGUUUUCAUUUCUAUUAGUGGAAAUCAGUUUGUUGGUGAAAUCUCACCUUCUUGGGGAGAGUGUGAAAACCUCACCAAUUUACAGAUGGAUAGGAAUAGAAUUUCUGGUGAAAUCCCAGCUGAGCUUGGAAAGUUGACCCAGUUGGGUGUUCUAACGCUGGACUCAAAUGAUUUGAGUGGGAUGAUUCCCAUUGAACUGGGAAAGCUGAGCAUGUUAUUCAGGCUCAACCUGAGCAACAAUCAUUUAACAGGAGUGGUCCCUCUGAGUUUGGGCAAUUUGACAAAGCUCGAAUCUCUUGAUUUAUCUGAUAACAAGCUGUCUGGGGACAUACCACAUGAGCUUGGGAAUUGUGAGAAGUUAUCAACUCUGGAUUUGAGCCACAACAACCUAUCAGGAGAUAUGCCUUUUGAACUGGGUAACAUAAACUCUCUGCAGUACUUGUUGGAUCUCAGCAGCAAUUCACUCUCAGGAAAAAUACCUGAUAAUCUGGGAAAGCUUACAUUAUUGGAAAAUUUCAAUGUAUCACACAAUAAUCUUUCAGGAAGAAUUCCCACAGCAUUGUCUGGCAUGAUUAGUCUGUAUUCUUUUGAUUUCUCCUACAAUGAGUUGACAGGACCUAUCCCAACCGGUGGCAUGUUCCAAAAUGCAUCUGCAGAAGCUUUUGUUGAAAACUCAGACUUGUGUGGAAAUGUAGAAGGACUAUCUCCAUGUAAUCCAGUGGCAUCAAGUAGCAAACCCUCAAAGCAUAACAAAAAGGUUCUUAUUGGCAUCAUUGUUCCAGUUUGUGCCUUAUUAGUGAUAUCAGUAAUUAUUGUUGCAAGUCUAAUAUAUCGUCGCAAGACUGAACUCCGUGAUGAAGAGAUCAGAGGUAUAAAUAAAUAUGAGAGUUAUGAGUCUAUGAUAUGGGAAAGAGAAGGAAAAUUCACAUUUGGCGAUAUUGUUAAGGCCACUGAUAACUUCAAUGAGAAGUACUGCAUUGGAAAAGGAGGAUUUGGAGGGCUGUAUUGGCAACAGGUCAAGUUGUUGCAGUCAAGAAACUAAAUAUAUCAGAUUCCAGUGAUAUUCCAGCAAUAAAUCGCCAGAGUUUUGAGAAUGAGAUUCGGAUGUUGACUGAAGUGAGGCAUCGAAACAUCAUCAAGCUUUAUGGUUAUUGUUCUAGGGGCAGCUGCUUGUACUUGGUUUAUGAGUAUGUUGAGAGAGGAAGUUUAGGAAAGGUAUUGUAUGGGGUGGAAGGGGAAAUGGAGCUUGAUUGGGCUACAAGGGUGAAGAUUGUGCAAGGAGUGGCUCAUGCAAUUGCCUACUUGCACCAUGAUUGCUCUCCACCAAUUGUUCAUCGGGACAUAUCUUUGAAUAAUAUUUUGCUCGAGUCAGAUUUUGAGCCACGGCUUUCAGAUUUUGGCACAGCAAGACUGUUGAAUAAAGAUUCAUCCAACUGGACUGCAGUUGCUGGUUCCUAUGGCUAUAUGGCACCAGAGCUGGCGCUCACAAUGCGGGUCAAUGAUAAAUGUGAUGUUUAUAGCUUUGGAGUGGUUGCACUAGAAGUUUUGAUGGGAAGGCACCCAGGAGAGCUUUUAUCUUCAUUAUCAUCACUAAAAACAUCAAUGCAAACUUAUCCAGAUUUGUCUGUAAAGGAUGUGCUAGACCAGCGGCUUCCAUCUCCUACAGGCCACUUAGCAGAGGAGGUUGUUUUUGUAGUUGGGGUUGCCUUAGCAUGCACUCGAACAACUCCAGAGGAACGGCCUGUCAUGCAUUUCGUGGCACAAGAACUAGCAACACGAACUCAAGCAUACUUGUCUGAGCCGUUAGAGAAGAUAACUCUUAGCAAGUUAACAGCCUUUCAAAGAUAGAACAUAAAAGGAAGUUUUUUUUUUUUUUUUUUUU